rnacentral:rRNA from 1 species
UGUCCUACGGGACGCAGCAGUGAGGAAUAUUGGUCAAUGGGCGAGAGCCUGAACCAGCCAAGUCGCGUGAGGGAGUACUGCCCUAUGGGUUGUAAACCUCUUUUGUCGGGGAGCAAAAGCCGGGCGUGUCCGGCUGUGAGAGUACCCGAAGAAAAAGCAUCGGCUAACUCCGUGCCAGCAGCCGCGGUAAUACGGAGGAUGCGAGCGUUAUCCGGAUUUAUUGGGUUUAAAGGGUGCGUAGGCGGAUUUUUAAGUCAGCGGUAAAAUGUCCGGGCUCAACCCGGGCCGGCCGUUGAAACUGGGGG